AUUGAACGCUGGCGGCAUGGCUAAAACAUGCAAGUCGAGCGAGAAAGUGGAGCAAUCCACGAGUAAAGCGGCGAAAGGGUGAGUAAUACGUUCCUACGUGCCUCGAGGUCGGGGAUAGCCAGGGGAAACUCUGGGUAAUACCCGAUGUGGUCGAGAGAUCAAAGGCUUGCCGCCUUGAGAGCGGGGAAUGUCCUAUCAGCUAGUUGGUGAGGUAACGGCUCACCAAGGCUAGACGGGUAGCAGGUGUGAGAGCACGGCCUGCCACAUCGAAACUGAGACACUGUUCGGACUCCUACGGGAGGCUGCAGUAACGAAUCUUCCGCAAUGCGCGAAAGCGUGACGGAGCAAUGCCGCGUGCAGGAUGAAGCCCCUCGGGGUGUAAACUGCUGUCAGGGUUUAGGAAGAAAGUGACCAGACCCAAAGGAAGAGACGACUAACUCUGUGCCAGCAGCCGCUGUAAU
rnacentral:rRNA from 1 species